rnacentral:RNase_P_RNA from 1 species
CCAGACGGUCGGAUGGCCGCUGUUUAGGCUUUCGAGCUUGAAUAGAGGAAAGUCCGGGCUCCACGGAGACACGGUGCCGGGUAACACCCGGCGGAGGCGACUCCAGGGAAAGUGCCACAGAAAGCAAACCGCCCAAUUUAUUGGGUAAGGGUGAAAGGGUGCGGUAAGAGCGCACCGCGUCGGCGGUAACGUCGGCGGCAGGGUAAACCCCACCGGGAGCAAGACCAAAUAGGGAUGACGCACUUUUCGAAGUAGGCGGGUUUUCGCGCCGUCAUCCGGGUCGGUCGCAUGAGGCGUUCGGUAACGGGCGUCCCAGAUGAAUGGUCAUCACCUAUCGGUUCGCCGAUAGCGUACAGAACCCGGCUUACAGACCGUCUGGCAUA